GUGAAUCAUCGAAUUUUUGAACGCAAAUUGCACUCUCUGGUAUUCCGUAGAGCAUGCCUGUUUGAGGGUCAGCUAAAAUAAAAAUCGGUGUGUUGUCUGCCUUUCCUGUUGACGCACCGGACGUGGGUCGACCUGCCUUCGGUUAAGUGACCUCACAUCUGCCACGAGCUCUUCGAACGUACUUAAACGAGUUU
rnacentral:misc_RNA from 1 species